rnacentral:rRNA from 1 species
GAUGAACGCUGGCGGCGUGCUUAACACAUGCAAGUCGAACGAAGCACUUUAUUUGAUUUCCUUCGGGACUGAUUAUUUUGUGACUGAGUGGCGGACGGGUGAGUAACGCGUGGGUAACCUGCCUUGUACAGGGGGAUAACAGUCGGAAACGGCUGAUAAUAUCGCAUAAGCGCCCAGCAUCGCAUGAUGCAGUGGGAAAAAAUCCGGUUGUAUAAGAUGGACCCUCGUUGCGUAAGCUAGUGGGAGAGGUAACGGGCCCCCAAGGCGACGAUCCAUAGCCUGCCUGUGAGGGUCACCCGCCACUUUUGCACUGGGCCACGGCGCAGACUCCUACGCGAUGCAGCAGUGGGUAAUAUUGCACAAUCGGCUAAAUCCUGAUGCAGCUACGCCUCUUGAGCGAAUAAGUAUUUCGGUAUGUAAAGCUCUAUCAGCAGGGAAGAUAAUGACGGUACCUGACGAAGAAGCACCGGCUAACUUCGUG